rfam:Gossypium arboreum cultivar AKA8401 contig_36174_1, whole genome shotgun sequence.
UGUUAAAAAUUGCAUCCAUUUUUACUAUUAAAAACAAUAUAGCUGUUGAAAUAACUAUACAUUUACAUAUGGUAUGCUACGUAUACCUUAUUCUAACAUAUAAUUACUAGUUUUUAACAGUAGAAAUAGAUGAGAUUUUUAAUA